UACGUAGGGGGCAAGCGUUGUCCGGAAUCAUUGGGCGUAAAGCGCGUGUAGGCGGCUCGAUAAGUCUGCUGUGAAAGUUCAGGGCUCAACCCUGAAAUGCCGGUGGAAACUGUCGAGCUAGAGUCCGGAAGAGGCGAGUGGAAUUCCUGGUGUAGCGGUGAAAUGCGUAGAUAUCGGAAGGAACACCUGUGGCGAAAGCGGCUCACUGGACCAUUACUGACGCUGAGGCACGAAAGCUAGGGGAGCAAACAGG
rnacentral:rRNA from 1 species